UACGUAGGUGGCAAGCGUUAUCCGGAUUUAUUGGGCGUAAAGGGAACGCAGGCGGUCUUUUAAGUCUGAUGUGAAAGCCUUCGGCUUAACCGGAGUAGUGCAUUGGAAACUGGGAGACUUGAGUGCAGAAGAGGAGAGUGGAACUCCAUGCGUAGCGGUGAAAUGCGUAGAUAUAUGGAAGAACACCAGUGGCGAAAGCGGUCUGCUGGACAGCAACUGACGCUGAGGCGCGAAAGCGUGGGGAGCAAACAGG
rnacentral:rRNA from 1 species